CAGCAGUUGCAUUUUUAUUAAUAUAGGAAGAAAAUUGUCAACGAAUUAAUCUGAAAAUUUUAAGGGAUUGGAACUGCCAGAAUCUCUAUUCAUUGGACAAUACCGUCUGAAUAAAGAAGCAUUCGUAAUUUUGUUGGACAUUGUAAAAGAACAUUUGUUACCAUCAACCAUUCCCCGCGUGAUUCAACUGGCUGCAAUAUUGCGAUUUUUAGCAGAAGGGUCUUACCAAAUGUCAGUUGGAAAAGAUUCCACCAUAAGUCUACUCACAUAAAAAUUAUAAAACCCACGAUUUAUUCAUAUAACUUACAUUUUCCAACAACAUUCCACAAACUAACAAAAAAGAAAACUGCAUAUCUAUAAUCAGUCAGCUGAUCGGAUUAUUUCUAGGGUUCUAUAACUCGACUUUCGAAUAAUCGAACAAUCGACUUUUUGUCGAAAAAAGUCGAAGUCGACAAUUUUGUUCCAAAAAAGUCGAUAACUCGACUAUCGUCUAUGAAAAAAGUCGAAAAGUCGACUUUG